rnacentral:misc_RNA from 1 species
CCCAACUAUCCCUAUUAAUCAUUACGUCAAUCCUAGAAACCAACAAAAUAGAAUCAAACGUCCUAUUUCAUUAUUCCAUGCUAAUGUAUUCAAGCGCGAGCCUGCUUUAAACACUCUAAUUUUUUCAAAGUAACAGUCCUGAUUCCCCAUGACAUCAAAUUAAUGACAUCAUGAUUCAUCAGAAGGGAGAAAUCAACAAUACUAGUACGUACCAAUGGCACGACCAGCAUAUUAAUCCCGAAAUUCAACUACGAGCUUUUUAACUGCAACAACUUUAAUAUACGCUAUUGGAGCUGGAAUUACCGCGGCUGCUGGCACCAGACUUGCCCUCCAA